GGCACAGGGCUACCCACGUGAGGGUGGCUCAGGUCUGGGAACCAAAAGGGGAAACGGAGGUAGGACUCUCACCCCAAGUCUCCUUCUCCUGCAAAGGGCGCUGAAGGACGAGGGGAGGACGACGGGUCCCACCUGACUCUGCACCUCUGCAGGCUCCCUCUGAAGGACAACUGCUGGCCCCUCAGGGCCUCAGGUGGAAGGCGUCGGGAAGUGGAGCAGGCUAUGUGAGUCAAGGAUGGAACGAUGGUCCCAGAACAUCCCAGGAGGGUGUGACAGCCUCCAUCUAGAAGGUUCUAUCCUCAGGUCCCCAAGGCAUCUGCAGCACACCGUCCUCUGCUGUGGGUCUGUGAAGCAGCCACUCCAGCAGCAGGUGUCCCUAUCGUUGGCGUUCUCAGUCAUCUCUCUCCCCACUGACCCCCUUCCGUUCCUGUCCCUGUGGUCACCCGCCCAGCUAUGGACCUUCGCGCCUAACUAUGAGUCCCUCCAUACAUCACCUAUCCCCCACUCACCUGUCUAUACUCCAUCCCCCGUGUAGCCACGAAUCCAUCCAGCACCCCCUCACCACUCACACCUCUCCAAUCACCCAUCAGUGUCUGUCCACCACAUCUGCGCAUCCUCCCAUGUCCCUAACCACCCAGUCAGUGACCCCCCCCCCGCCAUUUAAGGCCAUCCACUUGCACACACAGACCUCCACCUACCCAGACGCACAUCCCCUGGUCCACCCAUUCGCCUGUCCACCAUCCAUUAAGCACAGGACCACUCAUCCAUCCGUGGGCUGGUGUGGGCAGCCACCACCCGCUCUGCCCAUGCACGCAUUCAUCCUGCGCUGCUUCUCUCCUGCAGCAGGAGUGGGCACCGUACACUACCCUGCCCAUGAAGCCCCGAGGGGGCACUGCCUGGCUCCAGCCAGCCCCAUCUGCCCCGUUUUCCCCUGCAGGACAGUGGUGCCUGUCCAUUCCCUCUGCUAGCUGCCAGCCCUGCUGUCCUCCGCACUUUCUGGCAACCUCACUGUAUGAAACUCCCCAAAUCCUCCUCCACGUCAAGUGUCAAAACAGCCCAGUUUAAGUGCUUUCAGGAUUUCCACGGAGCCUGACCGCAAAGAGGUGAGCACAUUUAAGCCCCUACUCCCAGCCCAGCCCCCUGCAUCAGAGUUCCAGGGCUGACUCUGCAGAGGGGAAGCAGCCUCCUCCCAGAGGCAGGCACACAGUAGGUGCUCAAGCAAUAGGAUUUCUGCCAUUUCCACACUUUUGGAAGAACCUGCCCAUCCCCCAUCCUCUGCCCGCUCUCAAGGACCGUCAUCCUGAACUUGGUAAGGCGGCUCUUCCUACUCCCACUGAAUGAAUGAGGAAACUGAGGCAGGGUGCGGGGGUCGGGAGGAGAGGAGCAUUGUCCGAGGCCCCCGGGGGAGGCCAGGGAAACCUCAGUCCGGCAGGUCCCCGGGUUCCCGGCCCCCAGGGCCUUCUUCUCAACCCACCCCCGGCCCCUCCAAGGCUCCCACUCACGCGGACGAGCCCUCCAGCUUGCCGUAGAGCCAGCCGUUCUGGGCCUCGGGCACCAACACCUCCACCACGUCCCCAGCGGAGAAGCGCAGCAGCGUGUGGUUGGCGCCCUCCGAGUGGGAGACCAGGGCGCGGACUCUCCUGGCGCCCCCGCCGCCGCCCGGGCGCUCGCCAAAGGAGUUGGAGCGCGAGCUUUGGGCGCUGCCGCUGUAGAGCGAGGCUGUGGGCGGGAGAGCGCGGCGGCACGUGGGCAGGAAGUUCUUCCUGGCGUCUGCCCUCGAUCCCUCCUGCUGCAGCCCCACCCCCGCGCCUCUCCCGGCCCUCCUGCCGCCCCGGGGCGGGGGCACUCACAGGCCGACGGCGUGCGGGGCAGGGAGCGACGGUCUGGCUCUAGCUGGGACGCGGGCCUCGCGUCGGGCUCGGUGCCGUAGGAGCCGGAGCCGUGCCGGCUGCGGGGGGAGCUGAACUCUCCCAGGGGCCUCGGGGGCUGCGGGGGAGAUGGGCAGGGGAGGGUGGGG
rnacentral:lncRNA from 1 species